rnacentral:rRNA from 1 species
AUUGAACGCUGGCGGCAGGCCUAACACAUGCAAGUCGAGCGAGCGGCGGACGGGUGAGUAAUGUAUGGGGAUCUGCCUGAUAGAGGGGUAUAACUACUGUAAACGGUGGCUAAUACCGCCUACUAUCGGUUGUACCCAUAUGGGCUUAGCUAGUAGGUGGGGUAAAGGCUCACCUAGGCAACGAUCCAUAGCUGGUCUGAGAGGAUGAUCAGCCACACUGGGACUGAGACACGGCCCAGACUCCUACGGGAGGCAGCAGUGGGGAAUAUUGCACAAUGGGCGCAAGCCUGAUGCAGCCAUGCCGCGUGUAUGAAGAAGGCCUUAGGGUUGUAAAGUACUUUCAGCGGGGAGGCGUUACCCGCAGAAGAAGCACCGGCUAACUCCGUGCCAGCCGCCGCGGUAAUAC